GAUGAACGCUGGCGGCGUGCCUAAUACAUGCCAGUCGAGCGAACGGACGAGAAGCUUGCUUCUCUGAUGUUAGCGGCGGACGGGUGAGUAACACGUGGAUAACCUACCUAUAAGACUGGGAUAACUUCGGGAAACGGGAGCUAAUACCGGAUAAUAUUUUGAACCGCAUGGUUCAAAAUGGAAAGCGGGUCUUGCUGCCACUUAUAGAUGAUUCCGCGCUGCUUUAGCUAGUUGGUAAGGUAACGGCUUACCAAGGCAACGAUGCAUAGCCGACCUGAGAGGGUGAUCGGCCACACUGGAACUGAGACACGGUCCAGACUCCUACGGGAGGCAGCAGUAGGGAAUCUUCCGCAAUGGGCGAAAGCCUGACGGAGCAACGCCGCGUGAGUGAUGAAGGUCUUCGGAUCGUAAAACUCUGUUAUUAGGGAAGAACAUAUGUGUAAGUAACUGUGCACAUCUUGACGGUACCUAAUCAGAAAGCCACGGCUAACUACGUG
rnacentral:rRNA from 1 species